UCGCUUACAGAUGGGCCCGCGGUGCAUUAGCUAGUUGGUAGGGUAAUGGCCUACCAAGGCAACGAUGCAUAGCCGACCUGAGAGGGUGAUCGGCCACACUGGGACUGAGACACGGCCCAGACUCCUACGGGAGGCAGCAGUAGGGAAUCUUCCGCAAUGGACGAAAGUCUGACGGAGCAACGCCGCGUGUAUGAAGAAGGUUUUCGGAUCGUAAAGUACUGUUGUUAGAGAAGAACAAGGAUAAGAGUAACUGCUUGUCCCUUGACGGUAUCUAACCAGAAAGCCACGGCUAACUACGUGCCAGCAGCCGCGGUAAUACGUAGGUGGCAAGCGUUGUCCGGAUUUAUUGGGCGUAAAGCGCGCGCAGGCGGUCUUUUAAGUCUGAUGUGAAAGCCCCCGGCUUAACCGGGG
rnacentral:rRNA from 1 species